GUGUCAGCCGCCGCGGUAAUACGUAGGCAGCAAGCGUUGUUCGGAGUUACUGGGCGUAAAGGGUGCGUAGGCGGUUUGCCAAGUUUGGUGUGAAAUCUCCCGGCUUAACUGGGAGGGUGCGCCGAAAACUGGCAGACUAGAGUGGGGGAGAGGAGAGUGGAAUUCCUGGUGUAGCGGUGAAAUGCGUAGAUAUCAGGAGGAACACCGGUGGUGUAGACGGCUCUCUGGACCCUAACUGACGCUGAGGCACGAAAGCGUGGGUAGCAAACAGGAUUAGAUACCCUCGUAGUCC
rnacentral:rRNA from 1 species